rnacentral:rRNA from 1 species
AUCAAGUGAGAUUACCCGCUGAAUUUAAGCAUAUUAAUAAGCGGAGGAAAAGAAACUAACAAGGAUUCCUUUAGUAACGGCGAGUGAAGAAGGAAUAGCUCAAAAUUUAAAAUCAUGAAUCUUUGGUUUAUGAAUUGUAGUUUUAGAAGUUGGAUUCGUUUUUUCAAUAAUAUACUUAAAUCCUUUGGAAAAGGUAUCAUAGAAGGUGAAAAUCCUGUUUAUAGUAUAUUAAUUGAGAGACAUAUGUAUCUGAUUUCAAGAGUCGGGUUGUUUGGGAAUGCAACCUAAAAUGGGUGGUAAAUCUCAUCUAAAGCUAAAUAUUGAUAGGAGACCGAUAGGCAAACAAGUACCGUGAGGGAAAGGUGAAAAGAACUUUGAAAAGAGAGUUAAAGUACUUGAAAUUGUUAACAGGGAAACGAUAUAAUCCUUUAUACUAUCUGAAUUGUAAUCAAUUUUAUCUAUGUUUAUUUG